rnacentral:rRNA from 1 species
ACGUAGGUGGCAAGCGUUAUCCGGAAUUAUUGGGCGUAAAGAGGGAGCAGGCGGCAAUAGAGGUCUGUGGUGAAAGACUGAAGCUCAACUUCAGUGAGCCAUGGAAACCAGAUAGCUAGAGGACAGCAGAGGAACGCGGAAUUCCAUGUGUAGCGGUGAAAUGCGCAGAUAUAUGGAGGAACACCAGUGGCGAAGGCGGCGUUCUGGGCUGUAGCUGACGCUCAGUCCCGAAAGCGUGGGGAGCAAAUAGG